GAUGAACGCUGGCGGCGUGCUUAACACAUGCAAGUCGAACGAUGAAGCCCAGCUUGCUGGGUGGAUUAGCGGCGGACGGGUGAGUAACACGUGGAUAACCUACCUAUAAGACUGGGAUAACUUCGGGAAACCGGAGCUAAUACCGGAUAACAUGUUGAACCGCAUGGUUCAACAGUGAAAGACGGUCUUGCUGUCACUUAUAGAUGGAUCCGCGCCGCAUUAGCUAGUUGGUAAGGUAACGGCUUACCAAGGCAACGAUGCGUAGCCGACCUGAGAGGGUGAUCGGCCACACUGGAACUGAGACACGGUCCAGACUCCUACGGGAGGCAGCAGUAGGGAAUCUUCCGCAAUGGGCGAAAGCCUGACGGAGCAACGCCGCGUGAGUGAAGAAGGUCUUCGGAUCGUAAAACUCUGUUAUUAGGGAAGAACAAAUGUGUAAGUAACUAUGCACGUCUUGACGGUACCUAAUCAGAAAGCCACGGCUAACUACGUG
rnacentral:rRNA from 1 species